GACGAACGCUGGCGGCGUGCUUAACACAUGCAAGUCGAGCGGAGCGGCGAACGGGUGAGUAACGCGUGAGUAACUGCCCCCCUCUCUGGGCUAACAGUUGGAAACGGCUGCUAAUACCGGAUAGUGGGGGAUGAUUCGCGUCCUAUCAGCUUGUUGGUGGGGUAGUGGCCUACCAAGUCGACGACGGGUAGCCGGCCUGAGAGGGCGACCGGCCACAUUGGGCUGAGAUACUGGCCCAAUUCCUACGGGAGGCUGCAGGGGGGAAUAUUGCACCAUGGGGGAAACGCUGAUGCAGGAACGCCGCGGGCGUGAUGACGGCCUUCGAGUAGUAAUCCGCUUUCAGCCAUGACGCGGUAGUGGCAGAAGAAGCACCGGCUAACUACGUGCCAGCCGCCGCGGUAGUAC
rnacentral:rRNA from 1 species